rnacentral:misc_RNA from 1 species
AAAGACACAGAGAAAGUAAAGAAAGAAACAACUUUACCCAGCAAUUGAGAGAACAACAGCAGUAGAAAGAAACAAAGAAGAUUAGAUAAUAAAUCUUCCAUGGGAUUCAAGAUCCAUAGAAGAUACAGAUUUUAUAUUAUUUAAUUCAUCAACCUCUCGUUAUCGUUUUUCGAUUCAGAAUCUUCUUUGAGGGCCCUCUCUCUCUCUCUCUCUCUCUCUCUCUCUCUCUCUCUCCGAAAACCACUGUGAAAGAUGUUGUUUUGGGAUAUGGGUUUCAUCUUAGCAUCUCUUGGGGUCUUCAAUUUGGAAAACCAUUGAUAAUUCGAUGGAAGAGGAAAAUUGCAGGAGGGUUUGGGUUUGGGGUUGGGAUUGAGUUUGUCCAUGAUGAGGCUGAAUAAUCGCAUCGUGAAAUUGUGAUUUUUGGGAGAUCGAAGGAAAUCGCAAGACGAUUUUCUGAUGAGAAUGGGGGAGAAUGCAAUUGGAAAUGCGGCGGCUUUGCACACGGCAAUGAAUUCCGUGCAAGCUCUGGGGAGAGGGUUCGAUGUGAACUUCGAUACGAGGUUGCUAUAUUGCAAAGGAGUAGCGGGUUCAAGAGUGGUCCAGAUUGACGAGGAACAUACUAGAAAUCUCUUUUUGUAUGAUGAUAUUGAACUGCCCAAUAUUUCCAGAGAUAUCAACAAGACUUCGGAUCCUAAGAUUCGCCAGAGUUCUGGUGUUUUGACUUUCUAUGAGAUGGUGGAGUACUUUAAUCAAAAGGCUGAUAUAUCCGGAGGUUAUCCACUUGGUAGCUUCAAUUCUGCAUUUAGCUUUACUGGUUCAAAGCAUAUCGAUGCUGCAUCUACAAAGACCCUCUCUAUGGAUGGAUUUUAUAUUCCACUUGCAAAGAUCCAACUUAUGAAAUCCCCAUUAGUCUUGCAGGAUAAUGUUAAACAGGCUGUCCCAAAUUUUUGGGACCCUUCAUCCUUGGCAAGCUUCA